rnacentral:lncRNA from 1 species
AGCAACAGCACACAGGACAUCAUCUUACCAUGAGAGGUUUUGUCAAACAGCCCAAGGCCAGAGAAAGUCAGCAGCCUAAGCUGUUUCAGAAGAGCUUUUCUCCAGUCCCAACAGUUGUCUUUAUACCCAAUAGAAAACACUUAUUUGGUAACAGUAUAAAAUAUAACAUAUUAUAAAAUUAUAUUAAAUAAUAGGAAAUGUUUAUUUUAUGGUCCUAUUUAUUAUAGGGCCAUAGUCAUGGUUAAGUGAAGUCAACUGAAUUGCAUCCCACCAUUACAGUGAGAAAUCAGGAGGGGAGUCAGGUAGUUCGAAGAUGGUUCAACAGAUCAGCAGUGUGGAAGCAGUAAGUAUGAAGGUGGUUUCUGCCGAACUUGGGGUAGAAAAGAGAGGAAAUGGGUUAUUUUGAAUUAGUUAAAUGACAUGUAUUGUGCAUUUUUCUUCCAUAGACUUUGCUGGGGUGGAUUUUCCAGAAGGAUUUACCCAAUUAUUUUGGGGUGUAUCUAGCUAGGUUCUGCUCAAGAGUAGAUGUAUGGAAAUUAAAGGAACCUAAGUUAGUCAUGUCAUUAAUUUUGGUGGGUCUGCUUUGAGUAGGUUUAACAUUGGAUACAAUCCAAUGCAUUUUGGGGAAAUGGGUCAUUGUUUUAGGUCAGUUGGUUGUACUCGUGCCCAUGAGUUGUGUUUGUAAUUUUUAUUUAAAAGGCACUUUGUUGGCCAGUGUUAAUCAAUGGACUUGUUGGGGCUACUGUUGCUAGGCAGUACUUCUGGCCAGUCUGGGACAAUAGAAGCUUGCCGUUACUAGGCAGGAUUCUCACAUCCCAAACUUCAGCCUUCAGUUUGCAGUUCAGGUAGAAGUUAGGUAUGAAAGGAGGUGGGGAAAGCAAAUCACAGGAGAUAAAUGGAAAUAGUUUGAGAUGAAUGGGGAGAGGGAAAGGAAAAUGAUAUCACAGAUGCACAGCAACUGGAUUCCAUUUUUUAUUGGAAAAAAUAUUUUUAUUGCUUUUAUAUAUAGAUAAACUAUAGCAAAACAUAAGAAGCAUGAAGCAGGGACCAGGUGUACAAGCAAAAGAAAACACAGGAUGUAUACCAAAUUUUCACAUAUUAAUGUUCAAAAUGUUUUGUGUGCUAUAUAGGGAGUUAGUUACCAUCAACAACAAAGUAAGGAGACUUCCAGAUUUCUGUGUCUAGAAGCCCAUAUGUGGAGGCAAACUGGAGAAAGGUCCACCCCUCCUUGAUUUGUUUAAGGAACAAACCUUUGCCUUGUGGCAUAAAAUGCAUCAGGUGUCUUUAGUCCUUUUAGUGUUCUCACUUGGUGGGUUAUCUUGCCCAGAGUUGCUGUUUUCGACAUAUUUCUAUGUCAUAAUGUUAAUGUCCAAGUCUGUUGAGGUUUUCCAUAUUUGGGCAGUUGAUGGAUGGGCCGCAGCAUUGAGAAAGAUGUGCAAUUCAUUAAAUUUAAUGUCAGUCUUAGGACCCACAAUUAUAGGUAAUAGUAGCCAUUGAGGAGUACAUUCAUUGUACUCCUUUAGUAUAUUAGCAGUUUCCCAGAACAGAGCUACUAGGCAAUACCCCAUUCCUACAAUUUUGCCCACAAGCCAGUGAAAUCUCUGAUGUUACGUGAGGACGUGGCACAGGUGUCCUGCCCUACCUGUGCCAAAGCUUAAUCGUACUCUCUCGCUCUAAUGUAUGCUGGCAGAGGGUCAUAUCCAGCUCUGCUGUUCUGCUAUCUCAGGAGACUUCGGCUUGCAAAGUGAGACUUUCCCCAUCCCUUCUCUCCCUUGCAGCCUCAAAAUCAGCUCCAGAGGGCUGGAACAUCACCUGGGGAAGAUUUUGAGGGUGUAAAAGGAGAGAAGAGGAAACUUCAUUGUGUGAGUGGAAAUUAGUGCAUGCCGUGUUGGAUGCAACCCACAGGCUGGAAAGUUUUGAAUUCCCACAUCUUAACUCUGAUGACUACUAGCUGUUGUGAUUAAUAGGUAAAAGGUAAAGGACCUUUGGAUGGUUAAGUAAAGUCAAAGGUGACUGAGGUUGCGGUGCUCAUCUCGCUUUCAGGCCGAGGGAGACGGUGUUUAUCCACAGACAGCUUUCUGGGUCAUGUGGCCAGCAUGACUAAACCACUUCUGCCACAACGAAACACCGUGAUGGAAACCAGAGUGCACGGAAAUUCCGUUUACCUUCCCGCCACAGUGGUACCUGUUUAUCUACUUGCACUGGUGUGCUUUCAAACUCUUAGGUUGGCAGGAGCUGGGACAGAGCGACUGGAGCUCACCCAGUCGCAGGGAUUCGAACCGCCGGCCUUCUGAUCUGCAAGCUCAAGAGGCUCAGUGGUUUAGACUACAGCGCCACCCGCAUCCCUAUUAGUGAUUAAUAAAUUGAUCAUGAUAAUAGUGAUGGUAGGUCUCAAAUCUGCCUUUGAUUUGAUAACCCAAGGCAGAAGUUGUCAACCUUUUUGAGUCCACAGCUCCCCUGACCAACUGCGUUCUUUCUGCGGCUCCCCUGGAGGGAAACGUGCUCUGAGUCUCAGGAGCUCCCCUUGCCUGCCGAGCUGCCCACCCCUCACCUCUUUUGCAGAGACCCUUCCUUGUGGAGGGUUCCCUCAGCCUCCUCUCCCCUUUCCUCAAGAAUCUUUGCCCGCUUGUUUACUUACCCUGAGGCCACCUUGGCUCUCGGCAACCAGUUCUCAGCUCUCCUGGCCAGCCCCAGAGGCUGCUUUCACCUGGAGAACUUGUAGCCUGGGCCGCUACAAAAAAACAGCUGUGCAAGCCUUUGGGAGGCAGAGACACGAGAGGGCAUCAGAGGAGGGAAGGAAGGAAAGAGGGACAGAGGCCAGUGUUGCCCACGGCGUGCCUGACCACCAUUCAAGACGCCCCAGGGUGCCACGGCGCACUGGUUGAAAACCACUCACCUAGGGGAUGGUUGCAGAACAACCAAAAGAGUGCAUCAAUUGAUAAAAGUCUGUUUUAUCUCACGGAACAAUUACAGUUGGAAAGUAGAAUGGAAAUCAGAUGUUGUGUAGGAGGUCCUCUGUCAAAUUCUGUUGCAACUGCGAGAGGAAUUAGUGUUGUAGUCUAGCUCCCCUUGUUCCCUGAUUUAACUCUCCAGAACGUCAUAAACUGAAAAUUUGCAGAAGCCAGAAUGCCUCCAGACUUGUGUAUGUGGACGAUGCAGUCCUUCUCUCAAACACAGUUAGGCCUGAAACAUGUGUUAGAGGAAUGUUCUAACCUUUACGUAUAAGAAUGAAGCUCUUGCAAUUCGUUGUGGUAAGACUAAGGGAUUUUUUUUUGCUUAUUCUUAAAAAGUAAUGAAAGAUAAAUGGCUCUUUUGAUGGCUACCUACGUGUUUUUAACUUUUUAUGAUUUUAUCGCUUGGUUUCAUAUUUUUAUACUGUUGUAAACAGCUGUGGUAUAUCUUUAUGAUACAGCAGUAUAAUAAAUAUUUUAAAUAAAUAAAUAAAUAAAGCUAUUAUAUAGUUCUCUAUCUCCAAAUCCCUGAAGAGGAUGCAGAGGCAGAGGGAGUUUGGCCUACAUGCAGUAACACUGUCCUGGUGUGGAAGACUAUUGGUAGGGUUAUUUUUGACUACAGUGGAACCUCGGAUUACGUACCGUCCUCCUUACAAAUUCUUUGGGUAACAAGCUCCGCUAACCCGGAAGUAGAUGCCCCUUGUUGUGAACUUUGCCCUGGGGUGCGAGCGGAAGUUGUGCGCCGGCAGAGGCCCCAUUAGCGAAAGCGCACCUCAUGUUAAGAACGGUUUCAGCUUAAGAACGGACCUCUGGAAUGAAUUACGUUUGUAACCGGAGGUACCGCUGUAUUGCAGAAAGAACUGGACAAAUGAUAGGGCUCAAGUUGAGAGCCCAGCCUUGUUAUCACUAUUAAUAAGGAGCUACUUCACAAAGAACGUAUUAGGAUGGAGGUGAAUAAGCAUUGGAAAGAUGGGGAGGAACUUUCCACUAAACAGUAGAUAGAAUGAGCAAGGAACAUUAUUUUAGCUGAAGAACCUGCACAUCAAAUUAGGCAAGGGAUUGGGGGGGAAAUGAUUUAUUCAUGACAACAUGGUAUCCAUUUAUUGUUUAUGCUCCAUUUAUUGUUUAUGCCAUCAAAGAUUUAUCACUAUGUAGUCUGCCUAAUUCUUGGAGCAAGUUUUGGCAGUUUUUUUUUCUGAAUGAGGAAAACAAUUGUUAAGAUUUUUGUAGUGUAAGACGUGAAGAAAAUGUACCAGCAGUUCCAAGAAAAUUUGUAAAACAUUAUUGGAAUAAAGUGAUAGCUCUCAUCUUGGUUUAUUGCUGUUUACAGUUUGUUAAUACCACUGUUUUGUGGGAUAAAUCAGCCUCAUAUAACCAACAUGUAUAACUCUAAUGAAUGCACAAAGAGGUUAAGACCAUAGAGUAAGCUGUCCUGUCAGGCUUACCUAGGACACUGCCCCUCACCUUGGGAGGAAGGGCUCCCAAACUCUUUGUUCUCUCACUUGAACCCUACUAGUAAGGAGGUCUAAGCUGGAUGCGCGGCUUAAACAAGCUAUUUUUGUGAUUCUAUACAAAUAAUUUAGAAACUUGGCAUUUUUUAACCCAAGUUAAACUGCCUGUCUUUUUUUUGCUGCUGUAUGGAAAAGCACAUGAAUCUGACCUCUGAGGAGUUUGUAAGUAAACAGUUUUUAACUUCCCAAACGUGUGGUCUCUUUCUGUGCUAUGGAAAGUGGGGAAUUUUGGAAGCAACUUAGAAGGGGAUAUUUUAAAGUACUAACUGCCUAUAUUUCCACAAUUUACUAUGCUGCAUAUAUUGUGAUUUUAAAUCUCUGCUGGGGCUCUCACCUAAAAGUACUUGCCCCGAACCUGGAUCUUGGCGUCCAGGAAAUUCUCCUUCUCAUUAUACCUAAAAUAUUUCUCCUUUUAACCAAACAAAUGACGUUUUCUGGGGCAUUGUCUGCAUCCUGACAUCAGGAAGAUUGGAGCUGUCAUAAGAGCUGUUAGUUAAGCAACGAAGUUCUCAGGCCCUGAUCCACAAAAAGUGCUUGUGCAUGUCCUCUUCCCAGGCAGAUAGCCAGGUGCUUUGGCAGUGACUCUGAAGAUCCUCCCUGGCUUGCGCUCCUGUUCCGGUGGUCUUCUUGGGUGUUGGAGAACUGACUAGGAACCCAGGCAGCUGGGUAAGGACCUCCAGUCCUGGGGCAGGGGUAGCUCCUCAGGUUCAUUGGUAGUAUGGAGAUCUGCUGGAGGUUCCAGCUGCCCUUGCUCCUUAUUUGAGGAGACCUCAGGUUAUCAGUCUGAGCAAUGCUGAAUCCUAACAGUUAGCCUGAGAAAUAAAUAGCAAUAUAUCAAAUAGUAGAAAUCAUCACGACCACCUUGCAACCAUGAAAGAGGUGCAUGAGUUUGCUUGGUUUCCUCUUCCCUACCCAUCCCACUUUCCUUUUGUGUUUUGCCUUUUCAAUUGAAGGCUUGCAUUAUUUUUGUUGAUAGAAGCUGCUUUGGGAUCUUUUUCAGCUGAAGAGUGGAAGUAUAAAUGCAUUGAGUGAAUGGAUUGAUGAAUAAUAAUAAAUAUAACAAGCCUCUCUCCCACAGUAAAUGGAGCAGUGAUAGAAUUAGAAGAGGUAUGCCUUUGUACCCUUAUAGCUUGCUUGAAGAACAGGAAGCAGAGAGUAGGCAUAAAUGGACAGCUGUCACGAUGGAUGGAUGUAAGAAGUGGAGUCCCCUGUAACUUGUUCAUAAAUGAUCCGGAGCAGGUAGUGAACUGUGUGAUGAGACCAAAUCCUUCAGGCAGGUAAGAGCAAAAGGAAUCAAGGGUAGCUCCAAACCAGGCGAUUAGUCAUUAAAAUAGUAGAUACAGUCCACUCAGAGCUGGCACCAGGUUUGAGAGGGCCCCGGGGAACAUGGAUUCCACCCUCUAUCAGUGGGUCCUGGUGGACUUACUUAGCUGUGGUGACAGGGCUGCAAGGUGACAUGGUUCAGCCACCAUGUUUCAAUAUUAGGUUCACAGUAUAAAAAUACAAAAUAAAAACACAAAAUACAUAAUAAAAACAAGAAUACAACAAUACCCCCCCAUUUAAAAGGACAUAGACUGUUAAUCAGCUCAAGGCCUGGUUGAAUAAUUUUUGCCUGGUGUUUAAAGAUCAGGAAGGCUUCAGGCGAGUCUCUGGGGAGAACAUUUGACAAAUAGGGAACCACUGCAAAAAAAGGUUAAACAGGUACAGUGGACCCUCCGGAUACGAAUUAAAUUUGUUCCAAGGGUCCAUCCACAACCCAAAAAGUCUGUAGGCAGAGGCACCGCUUCUGCACAUACAUGUGGUGUGAUCGAGCGCUUCUGUGCAUGCGUGCGCGGCGAAACCUGUAAGUAUACACUUCCGGGUUUGCCACGUUCAUAACCUGAAAGUUACGUAUCCAGAGUGGUACGUAACUAGAGGGCCCACUGUACUGGCUGCAAAGACAUGUUUCCUGAGAUACAGAAGAAGAGAAAUGAGUUGAGUGUAAUUCCUAUAUGACCAACACAAUGAAUGUAAAGGACAAAGAGAGGAAAGAUAAUUCAGGGAUAACCUCUUCCAAAAUUAAUGACCAGGUGGAAUGGUCAAUGCAGACUGAGAGGGAAGACAGUUAUAGGGGGAUAGCAAGAUGAGUCUUUGCAAGAUGAAUAAUGCAUCUAAAGUUUAAUAUUGUUUGGGUGAAUUAACAAAAUUCUAACCCAUCGUGGCGUGACUGCACUGCACGUUUAUUGGAGACACUGCAGACUGACUGGAGUAUGUGCACAGAGUGUACAAAACAGGAUAUGCAUGUUCCCCAAGGCCUGUUGGGAAUUAUCUAUAAGGGCCAGAUAAUAUACAAAAUUCAGCUGAGAUGUGUACCGUAUUUUUCGCUCUAUAAGACGCACAAGACCAUAAGACGCACCUAGUUUUUGGAGGAGG